rnacentral:rRNA from 1 species
UACGUAGGGGGGCAAGCGUUGUCCGGAUUUAUUGGGCGUAAAGAGCGUGUAGGUGGACUGGAAGGUCUGGUGUGAAAGCCCCGGGGCUCAACCCCGGGAGGGUCACUGGAAACCAACAGUCUUGAGUCUGGAAGAGGAGAGUGGGAAUUCCUGGUGUAGCGGUGGAAUGCGCAGAUAUCAGGAGGAACACCAAUGGCGAAGGCAGCUCUCUGGUACAUGACUGACACUGAGACGCGAAGCGUGGAGCGAACAGG